rnacentral:tRNA from 1 species
GGCCUCGUGGCCAAAUGGAUAAGGUGUCUGUCUACGGAUCAGAAGAUUCCAGGUUCGAGUCCUGGCGAGGUCG